rnacentral:lncRNA from 1 species
UAUAAAAUUUCGACAGCAUCUCCUUUGAAAAUUGCAUAAACGGGGGAAGCAACAAAGUAUAAAUAGAUAUCAUGAUAAGAAAACAUAUAAGACAUUAAUAAUCUGCUAGCAAUGGGAAGACAACCAUAACAACAUGAACUGAAUUAAUCAGUGCGCACGACUAGUUAAAAACAAACAUUCUUUGACAAGAAGUUUCUAAUUAAAUCAUGGCUGCGUCUGGGCAACAUUAUUAUGAGAAUGAAGGUGGAUGUGCUGCUACUUCCCACUCCCCUUGAUGAGCAACAAGCACCUGCAUUGAGUAAUGCAAGAGUGAGAUGAAACAUCUCAGCAAGCUAAUUGUUCUGACGAGAUAUUUAAACCACAAAUUGAAUUCAUCAACAUUUUAAAAGAGUCACAAUUAAAAAUUAGAAAUGCUUGUAGAUAUAGAACUCAGUAGUCCCACUAUAACCAAUACCAUCUCAUUUCCUCGAACAACCACAAUAGGUUCUAUAACACUUCCCUGCGUCAACAAUACCUGCAAAUAUCACUUCAAUGUAUGCAUAGGAAUGCAAUGUGUAGGUACUCUAUCUUCAUACCUCUGGGAGUAUAAAACCACAUCAUCUGCAAAUAUCACUUCAAUGAAUGCAUAUGAAUGCAAUGCAUAUGUCCUCUGCCUUCAUACCUCUAAGGGUAUGAAGCCGCAUCGUACCCCUUCUCGGGCAACGUACGAUGCUAAGUUGUACCGGUACGGUCGGACCAUAGGUCACGACAAAACUUCAUAUGCAAAUGAGUCAUGCAAUGUAUAUGGCAUGCUACAUUUAUCAAUAAACUUCACUUCCUUCAGAUACAACACAAACCUCAAAUAAUACUUCAUUUACCUUCAGAUACAAUACCAACCUCAAAUAAUACUUCAUUUACCUUCAGGGGUGUGAAUUAAUCUCAUGAGUCAUACUCAAAUCAUAAUCAUCAUCAAUAUAUGAUUGAGCAUCAGUAUAAUGCAAGCAAGUAAAGCAUCACCAUAGAGUCCAAUUAUGAAAGAAUCUGAUACUUCUGAAUAUUAGAGUGUAGGCGAUAGAAAUAACAGGUCAGAACGGAAGCAACCACCGCUACAUUCACUUGCCUUCAUCGAAGAAGAAGAAAUGUACUAGACAUGAUCUGGAGUGUAGCCACCUGCUAGUGGGCAUAAAACUUAGUACAAAUAUUUCACAAACAUUUGCCAUCAAUCAACAAAAUACUCCUACACUUGAAACCAAGACCCAGUGGAAAGACUCCCACCCUGAACCACAUGCCAUACAGCAGGAACGCUGUUUGUUAAUUUUGUAUCUUUAAAAUUAAAACAGCGGUGAUAUCAAACAAAUACUCUAGGAGUAUCUACACAAAAUACUCUACAACUUCAGUAUUCAAUAGAUAAUUAAAUUCUGCCAUCUACAAGUUCUAAAACAUCUGACAAGAUAACUGACUGAAUCUGUUUUAGACAGCAGUAUGGUUAACUUUAAAAUUUGAUAUCUCCAAAACUGCUGAACCAAAAAUUAUGAAAUUCUGCUGGAAGUAAGAACUUUUAUCCCUCUACAAAAGUCUCCAUAGUUGGAAGAGCCAAUUCGGCCAUUUACUAGAUGAAACCCACCAGUGAACAGACCCACUCAUUUUUGUCAGGUAAACAGGAACAGCCACAGUAAAACAAACAUAACUGGAGUUUCACAAAUCAUAUGAAUGCACUCUUUAACAAUCUGGAAAGCUUAUAAAAUUAUCUACAACUUCUUUUACCAACCCACAGUUUAAUUCUGUUGAUAAAAUUGCCUAAAUCUUAAGAGAACAGAUUCUGCACAGAAUUAUGAGACUGAAAAACUGCUAUAGUAAAACUGCAAUAACUUUCUGGUCGGAUGUCCGAUUAAGGUGUUCUUCGCGGCCACGGAAAGAUCUACAAAUUAUCUACGACUCAUACAUAGACUUUUUAUUUUUUUGAGGCCACUAAGACCACGGAAAACUGGCAUGAACAGAAACUGUCGAAUCUGCCAUUCUGCAGAAAACUAAAUUCGAGAUCAAAACCUAACCCCACAUCAAAUCCAACCUCUAAUCCUUUAAUUCCCAUGAUCCACAACCUCCAAAAGCCUAUAAUUACAGGGAGGAACAAGGAUCUCAUCCAUACCUAGGGUUUCCCCAAGAAAUCUUCAAGAGGAGAUGGGGAAGAACAUCUCCUUGAUCCUCUCUUCCUCUUCAAUUCAACGUGCCCCUCCUUUUCUCGAUCCUUGCUGCGUAGGGGGAGAUCUUGGGGGAGGAAGCAAUGGAGGAUGGCUGCCAUAGGGGGAGGGGGCGUCCAGCCAGGGGGGAGAAAAAGGGGGUGGCGGCCAAGAGGGGGGGUGAAGGGAAAAAAAAGGGGUGGCCACCUAGGGUUUUUGUGGGAGAAAGAAACGACGCCUCAGAUGACUUCUAUCUUUGCAUCCAAUGGCCCACAACCCUUUACCUCAUCCACGCACCAGAGAUUAACUUUUGGUCAACAUUUUUUUUGGGAUAUUACACUCUACCCCCCUUAAAAAGAAUUCGACCUCGAAUUCGGCCACUCCAAGCAAAACACCCAAGGUACCCCAUAUAGCACCACAAUUCAAAACAUGGGUCCAUUAUUGGUCUUAAUUAACACAAGAACUUCUACCUUGGACUAAUUGUCUAAGGAAACUACACGACCUGACAUCAAGCAUGAAACAACAUGUAAUGAAGCUCAAAGCAUGUCAUAGUUGCAAUCAACACUCCAAUUUCACACCAUCAAAUUUGGAUGCAGCUAUACAUCAACAUCAACGUCUUAAGACAACACUCUUUUAUGAAGGGGUAAUAUGCACCAAGCACAACCCUUACCAACUUCAACCAUUAAUUUUAAUUAAAUGGUGAAACAUCUACACCCGACGAAUGUAUAAGAAGAUCAAACACCUCACCUUAAAGCACUAUGAAACAAGUAGUUCCAUUGGAACAAAACUCCUAAUCUUCCUAAACCUUAUUCUUGCCAUCAUGAAAAGAUAAUCAUGUAAUCUAACAUUCCUUGCACCCCACCAAAAGGGAGAAAAUCUAUAGAACUAAUGGAGCAAUAAAGCCAAAAGAAGCCAAUAACAUCUUGUGCGGCAUAGUUCAUCGAAGAAAUGCCAAAAACUCUACAUAGAGCACUGAUAGCCCAACAACAACACAAUACUUGCUUAACCCAUGUCACUAUACUUCAUUCAACAUCUCAACUAAGAAAAAUAUCCAACUAGUAAGGAUAACCUACACAUAAUAUAAGUCUUCAUCUACUGUAGUUCAGAAACUUACAUUUCAUUCUAUCAUACGAUGCACUCAAAGUACCAGACAUACAAAGUCAAUAAUAAUAACCCCUAAUCCUUCACACAUUUGACAAACAUAUUAAGCUGAUGUAAACACCACAUGAUCUAGGAAUAGGUGACUAGCCACACCCAACCAACUCUAAGCUAGGCAAGGACUUUCUUCAAACCAAUAGAUAGGUGGUCUAAAAAAAUGGCUCCACAAGCAUGCAUCGAAAAGGGAACCAUCAGAUCCUCAAUGUAUCAAUACAUAAUCAAUGGAUCAAGAGAAUCAAAGAUUUAUUCUACAAUUAGUAUGACUAACAUGCAACCACUUUAAACCACAUCUAGGCUUUGUGGCAACUAAAACACACAAUAUGAGAGAGACAUGUAAGCCAUUCUGGCUAUGAAAAGACUUCCCCCAAAAAUCCAUAUAAAGUACCAAUAUUCAUUUCUUUCAAAACUGGUUUCUCAACAUAAACAAUCAUUCUUUGCAAUGAUAGUUGGAGCUAUCCACCAACCGCUCAACAACUUAAAUUCAAAUUGAUGAUUACCUUGUACCCCAAAACACACAAUUCACACUCCUCUUAGAAACAUCCACAAUCAAGCAUAUAUAACAAUAUUAUUGUAAUAAAACUCAACCAUGAAAAACAUGGUGAAAACAACAUAGGCAUACUUGUAUAUCACAAGCAUAAUAACAACUUCAUUCUCACCAAUGACCAGCGAUAUCUACCGCAUUAAUAAAACAAUAUCAAAAUUUCAGAAAUAAAUUAUAUCAAGCAUUAAGCCAUAAACAACUUACCACAUCACCGUAAAGGAAUAGGGAGGGGUGAAACUAUUGUCAUCUGCACUCCAAAGACAUUAAUAUAUAUCAAAGAUAUUUGAACCCAUACCCUUCCUAUAUGUGCAAGUGUGUCAAAUUUAUCUUCAAAUUGCCAAGAAUCUAAAGCCUAUGCUUUGAUACCAACUGUAACACCCCGGGAUCCACAAACACCCCAGAAUGCUACUAAACUACACAUUUAAUAUUCAUAUAUAAAAUUUCGACAGCAUCUCCUUUGAAAAUUGCAUAAACGGGGGAAGCAACAAAGUAUAAAUAGAUAUCAUGAUAAGAAAACAUAUAAGACAUUAAUAAUCUGCUAGCAAUGGGAAGACAACCAUAACAACAUGAACUGAAUUAAUCAGUGCGCACGACUAGUUAAAAACAAACAUUCUUUGACAAGAAGUUUCUAAUUAAAUCAUGGCUGCGUCUGGGCAGCAUUAUUAUGAGAAUGAAGGUGGAUGUGCUGCUACUUCCCACUCCCCUUGAUGAGCAACAAGCACCUGCAUUGAGUAAUGCAAGAGUGAGAUGAAACAUCUCAGCAAGCUAAUUGUUCUGACGAGAUAUUUAAACCACAAAUUGAAUUCAUCAACAUUUUAAAAGAGUCACAAUUAAAAAUUAGAAAUGCUUGUAGAUAUAGAACUCAGUAGUCCCACUAUAACCAAUACCAUCUCAUUUCCUCGAACAACCACAAUAGGUUCUAUAACACUUCCCUGCGUCAACAAUACCUGCAAAUAUCACUUCAAUGUAUGCAUAGGAAUGCAAUGUGUAGGUACUCUAUCUUCAUACCUCUGGGAGUAUAAAACCACAUCAUCUGCAAAUAUCACUUCAAUGAAUGCAUAUGAAUGCAAUGCAUAUGUCCUCUGCCUUCAUACCUCUAAGGGUAUGAAGCCGCAUCGUACCCCUUCUCGGGCAACGUACGAUGCUAAGUUGUACCGGUACGGUCGGACCAUAGGUCACGACAAAACUUCAUAUGCAAAUGAGUCAUGCAAUGUAUAUGGCAUG